rnacentral:rRNA from 1 species
UACAGAGGGUGCAAGCGUUGUUCGGAAUUACUGGGCGUAAAGCGCGCGUAGGCGGCUUUGUAAGUUAGAGGUGAAAGCCCGGAGCUCAACUCCGGAACUGCCUUUAAAACUGCAUCGCUUGAAUCCAGGAGAGGUGAGUGGAAUUCCGAGUGUAGAGGUGAAAUUCGUAGAUAUUCGGAAGAACACCAGUGGCGAAGGCGGCUCACUGGACUGGUAUUGACGCUGAGGUGCGAAAGCGUGGGGAGCAAACAGG